rnacentral:lncRNA from 13 species
UUUUGUUUAUCCUUUCAUCUGUCAAUGUAUAUUUGGGUUGUUUCUCAUUAUAGAUAAUUUUGGAAAUUACAGAAACACGAAAAGAAAAAGAGAAAAAGAGAGCUGUGUCAUUAUCUCAUUGCUGGAGGCAGCUGCUGUUAACAUCUUACAGCAAACACUGAGCUUCAUGGGCGACUCUUCACAAUUAGAUGGGGAUCUUGCAUGUUGCCUAGGCUGA